rnacentral:rRNA from 1 species
UACGUAGGGUCCGAGCGUUGUCCGGAAUUAUUGGGCGUAAAGGGCUCGUAGGCGGUUCGUUACGUCGGAUGUGAAAACUCGGGGCUCAACCCCGAGCCUGCAUUCGAUACGGGCAGACUAGAGUUCGGUAGGGGAGACUGGAAUUCCUGGUGUAGCGGUGAAAUGCGCAGAUAUCAGGAGGAACACCGGUGGCGAAGGCGGGUCUCUGGGCCGAUACUGACGCUGAGGAGCGAAAGCGUGGGGAGCGAACAGG